UUCAAGACUCCCAGAGAAGCUAUUGAAGGAACUUAUAUUGAUAAGAAAUGCCCCUUCACUGGAACUGUGUCUAUCAGGGGUCGAAUCUUAGCUGGAACUUGCCACAGUGCCAAGAUGAUGAGGACCAUUAUUGUCCGCCGGAAUUACCUUCAUUUUAUAAAGAAAUACCAAAGAUAUGAAAAGAGACAUUCAAAUAUUCCC
rnacentral:misc_RNA from 1 species